GCCAGCUAUUAAAAUGGUCAUCACCAGACCAAGGCUCAAUCGAGUCAUGGAAGGAGGAAUCAGAAAUAAACUGCACAACGACUUGGCUGGUGACCCACUUCACAUCUCCUUGCUAAACACUGGAGAAUCAUGCGAAGACUUUGAUGUAACAGAUUGACCUCUAACAGCAACCAUGGGCAUCAGUGAUGAGAAAACCUGUGUUGAGACAGCAUUGGCUGAACCCCACAGAGUGUGUGCAUGUCUGCAGUGAGGAUGAACUCUUCCACCUUGAAAGCACAGAUGACAUGGCAAAUAAGAUUGAGACAGCAACAGGAGAACAGGCAGCCGACCAGGAGUGGCAUCAGCUCCACAGGCCAAGAUUACAUCUUCAUGUUUAAGAGGUUUGUUAUAUGAGGGGUGAAACUGUGCAGAGAGAAUCCUCAAAGGAACGAGACAGACUGCAGACGUGAGCACAGGGACAGACAUGGAGUUUAACGCAGCUGGAGAAAACUGCAAAUUGAAAAACUUUAACUAUAGGCCUCAUGGCCUCGUUGUCCACCCUGACGCUCCCUGGCUUGGUUCCUCACCAGAUGGGUUGAUCUUUGAUCCAUCUGCACAGCCACCGUUUGGACUGCUUGAGAUAAGGUGUCUUUAUGUGAGGAAUUAUGUUCACUUCAGAUACCUUCAACUAAGAAUGGCGCCCUGUCUCUCUGUAAAAGUCAUUUGUAACGACUAUGUUGACACUAAGUUAACAGCAGCAUCAGAGAGAGGGCGUGGACUGGUGUUACUUUCAUGUUCACACGUUGAUGCACUUCUCUCUUAAAAAUAAUUUGAAUUCUAUUGUGUGGUCUUAAAAGAGUACAGGUGAUUUAAAGAUGCCAAGUUAAAUGUUCAGUAUGUUGGUCACACCACACACAUGCACUCUCCAGUUUCUUCUUCUCAUCUAAUGCAAUCUUAAUGGUAAAUCAACAGGGUGCUUGGUUGCAUAAUUAGCUGUGCAUAUGUUGAAAUAAAUGUAGGUUUUCUUUAUUCUUGGCAGGAAAAACAUAUAUCCAAGUGUAAAUCAGUGCAAUUCAUAAAUGUGAUUAUGUAAACAUUACUAAAAUAGCCAAAGCAUAGUUCCAAUAUUUACAUUUGAGGGGCUACAAUCACUAAAAUCUGAAUUUCAUUAAAACCAUUUUUUACAUUUACUUGUUAAAAAUUGUUGUUUGUUAUCAAUAAUUAGAGCUCUAAUCAUUUACAUCAUAUAUAAUCUACCUGAACCAAUAUAAAACUAUUUACUAUAAAAAAUAGUGCAGUUACAAGCACUGGUCUGAGCGGUGCAGCUUUUUAAAACAUUUUGUUGAAUUCAAUCAGUGGAAUAAAUACAAGACUACAGCUGCUGCAGAGGAUCUCGUAGCUUUAGUAUAUGAGGUGCCCUAUCUACCAGAUGAGCAAUCUGAAAAGUGUCUGAAAAGGGCUGGGAAAAUCAUCAGAGACCCCAGUCACC